CCUACGGGCGGCUGCAGUGGGGAAUAUUGGGCAAUGGACGCAAGUCUGACCCAGCGACGCCGCGUGAAGGACGAAGGCAUUCGUGUUGUAAACUUCUUUGGAGAGGGACGAAAUUGACGGUACCUCUCGAACAAGCCACGGCUAACUACGUGCCAGCAGCCGCGGUAAUACGUAGGUGGCAAGCGUUAUCCGGAAUUACUGGGUGUAAAGGGCGCGCAGGCGGCCUUGCAAGUCGGAUGUGAAAGAUCAAGGCUCAACCUUGACAGGUCAUCCGAAACUGUAAGACUUGAGUGUCAGAGGGGAAAGUGGAAUUCCUAGUGGAGCGGUAAAAUGCGCAGAUAUUAGGAGGAACACCGGUGGCGAAGGCGACUUUCUGGCUGACAACUGACGCUGAGGCGCGAAAGCGUGGGGAGCAAACAGGAUUAGAUACCCCAGUAGUC
rnacentral:rRNA from 1 species